CAGGUAUAGUUUCUGUGUUUUCUAAAUUCUUCAGUAAGAAUUAGUAUAGUGAGGGUUUCUUAUACUCAAUUUUGAAAAGAGUUAAAAAUGACUGUAGGGCUAUACAAACAGUGCAGACGCACCAGAACAUGGCCAGUACUACGGAACAACAGUGUAUGGUAGAUAAUAAAAAUUACAUGGCGAUUCUUUAUCAUUUGGCAAAAUAUCCAGUGGUUAAAAAAGCCAUAAAACUGGCGGAUAAGAAUAUAGCUAUAAAGAGAAAUCCCACGGUGUUUAGGACCCUGAGUAGCAGUAAAGAUGAAAUGGAUGAUAGAUUGAAAUCCGGGGUGUAAAGCAUUCCAGUUAGCAGCAGAGACAAAGGAACAAUAAGCAAGUACAUAGACAUGACAAGCCGCACAAUGGAAGAGAGGUUGAAAGAACAC
rnacentral:lncRNA from 1 species